UGUCUAACCCUUAAUAGGUUGGUCUAUAAGGUAUGGCAUAAAAAUCCACUGCGACAUAGAGAUGGGCAUCCAUCUUACUAUCAUGUCGCAGUGGUUACUACCCGAAAGGGUAGUAAGGUAGUCCCGAAAGGGCUGUC
rnacentral:sRNA from 12 species